rnacentral:rRNA from 1 species
GAGGUGACGCGACGGGGGUAGGCCGCUCCUGAGCAGCGCGAGGCAACCAGAGCGCAGCUUCGCCGCCCUAAUUUUGGCACCUCGACUUGGGAUCGCGGCCCCCAAACCCAAAUCGACGACCACCGAAGGCACCGCCGAGGCGCCGCCACCCCAUCUUACCUCACCUUCGAACUGAUUAAUUCAUUCCCGUAUGCGGCGUUUACCAACUGCGCUACGUCGACAGUCGGUAAGUCUUGGUUCUAACACGUCCGAGCAUCUAGGGAAGCUGAGGUGUGUCCCUCACUGUCAAGGUUAAGUGUCACUAGUACCCACCGCAGACAAGUUCCUUCGCUUCGGUUAACCACCUCCUACUGCUGCUAAGAGAGGUCUGUGGCUGCUCCAAGAGCUUCUGGUCGUCGAACUUUACCGACGACGAGUGCGACGGGGCGUCGUCGAGGCUAUAGAGGGCAUUCCCUGGUCCCUUCCCGGGACCGGCCACGGGCUGUGAGUACCUCGAGACACAGCGGUUUCAGACGUUCCUAUAGUCGUUCAUAAGAUGAAAACGAUACGACGGCUCACUAGAGUCGGUCGUCCAAAAGCUACUUGACCACCUGAGCUUGACGGAGUGCCUCCUUAGCGAACUUUGGAAAGCCCUAACACGCGACGUACUGUAAACAAACCCCCUCAUAGGACCUCAAUUCCUACGGACCUACCUUCAUCACCGAAGUGUUUCCGUCAGUAAUAACAGGCAACUGUAAAGAACGAGACUUCAAUGACUAUCACCGAAUUUAAAAGAAUCACUAACGAGUUUGUACGUUUCGAACAGUACAUUAAUGACACUUGUACAGAGUCUUGUACCGGAACCUCAAAACAGUCCAAAGAGUUUGAACUGUAGAAAUUCAAAGUUCUCUUCACUGCCACAAUGACGAUUUCCUUACUCACACAAACGUUUAAAUCAAUUAAACCAUUUAGAACUGGAGCUCGCUACGGACUUCUAAGUACCACCGGAACAAGUAUACUUUCCGGACUCUUUCGACCUCAGUGAAUUAUACUCUAUAACAUUGAUGUAAUGCCUAAGUCUAUAGUUCAUAAAUAGUCUAGAGUGUUUAAACUUCCUUGACGUUAACAGAAGAACAUCUUAAUGUCUGGACCCAUAAAGAAUAGAAUGUCCGAACAGGUUCAAUUGUGUGGAUUUAAACCUCUCGACAGGUCACUGGCGACGAACGAACCUUCGAUAGAGUCCUAACCGAAGUGACUACAACAACUUAAACUUAGCCACACCGUAUAUACUACUUCCGACACUUUCGAAACUUCUAGAAUUUUUUAACUUCCAGAAUUUAAACCCGAAAUUGGUAUAAUGUCUACGUACAAACCACGUAGACUUUCCUAAUUAGUUAAACCUCAGGAACUUGGACCUAAGUACGUUCUAGCCUCUACUUCCAGAUAAUGUAGACUUCCCGGAACACAAUAACUGUUCGAACCUCGAAAGACUGUGACGUUAACCUUCGUUACCCGAGGCCGUAGAAAGACUAGAAGCCUUAAACAUGUCGUAUUUAGAGAGUAAAUGUAACCAGUGUCUGUGGCCGUACUUCUUCUAAAGGUGUAACUUAAGUGACUUCAGUCAAUUAGAACUGUUAGCGGACUAUUGACUACAACCGAAUCGUCGUGAGUAUCCAGAAUGACCCAACUGAGUGGAACUGGAAAAACCUCGAGCCCACUGACUGGUACCCUGUUCGAAGAACUCUAUAAAGUUCUUAGAGCUCAGGGAACUCCAUACGCCACCCAGUUAGUGACUACGACCUCACUUCUUAUAGUUCCUGGAGUUUCGAGACUGCGAGGAGUUGGAAAGCGUUUUACCGUUCGACUGUCUGUUUUGGGACCUCGACUAAAGACCGAACUGGCGAAACUAGACGAACUUACAGAGGUUGAGGGCCCACAGGUUGUGGCCAGAGGCAGUGGACUUCCGCGACGUCUUGAACGCGAGCGACUGCGACCUAAGCACGUCCCACUGUCGCUUGCUCUACUUCUUCGAGUCCCACUGUCGCGAGGGGUUAGACUAUUCACAAGCCGGACUCAUCAGAGGUACCGCGGGUCAUGGAGGACAUGCCGUUUGGCGGAUAGGGCGGGAGUAGUACCUGCACUCACUCGCCGACUAGCCCGGGGUUCUGGUACCAAGGCGUCCGGGCACGGUAUCAAAAAAAAAGGACAAUAAAUGCGUCCAAAAGAGAGAUGACAUUCAAGAAGCAAACUUCGCUGCUUUUUGGUGCUGACGAUAGGAUAAAGAAGAAAACAAGGUACGGCUUGGUGCCCGUCCUUGUUUUAACAUUUAUAGUGCGAAGGAGCGGUACACCCCAACAUUCGGGGCUCGGCGAGGGCGCUCGCAGGAGCCCCCUUUGGGAUCGCGCGGCGGGGAGCAGGAGGGAGCAGCUAGAGAGGGGGGCGGCGGUGGCGUGUCGCGGCGGCCCGUUUCUGGCUGGCCGCAACCACCGCCGCCCCUAGAACGGGGAGAGGAGCGCCAACCGCAGGUCGCGCUCUGCCGCGACCCGACCCGCCCCGGGUCGCCGCGCCGCCUCCCGCACGACCCACCGCCGCCACGUCGACGCCGAACUCCGGGGAGGUUGCACGCCGCCGACGCCGAAGAGACCUCCGCCGCGCUCAAUAGGGCCGCCGCCGAACCGCCGCACCCGCGCCGCCUCGAGACCGCUACUGAGCCGCCGCCCGACCUUCCGAUCCGUGGCAGGUCACCACGACGGAGGCGCCGCCAACGCCGAACCCCGGGAACUGGGGCUAGGCUAGACCUAGACCACCACGGACCCAGAUCCGGUACCGCCGACCGCUCCGUACCCUUAGCAGCCCCGAACAGCCGGAGAUCCGUGGUACCCCCACGACCUCUGCUGCGCACGGGCCGCACCACUGCGACCAUCUGCACCACCAGUAGAAGUAGGGCUCUACCGGCCGGUCUCCGAACCACUAGCCUAGAGCUCUAGGUAGUAGAACAGGGCCGACGCUCAUCCCCUCUGUACCAACGGCCACUUUUGGCUCGGCUGCCGUCCGCUACCGCCGCAAGAGCGGCAAUGGAACUACCUCCGUAGCAGCACAUUGAUGACAGCUGGGUGAGCACAACGAGGCCCCCUUUGGGAUCCUAGACCACAAGGUCUAGCCUGCUACCGCCGUGACGCCGCAGCAAAGAGAGAACCCUCGUAGCAAACGCCUCGUCGCGACCUACAGUCUCCGUCCUCCACCUCGCCGAAGCAGAACGUACCUCGAAGCCACCACUACAGUUCAGUACGGACUGGCUGUCCACGAUGCGAAACAGUACGGACCAGCCGUCCACGAUGCGUGCUGUCUAGAAGGUUCCUGAAGUUCGACACAGCCGACCACCAUGGACCGUCGUACCGCGACUCCACAUAGUCACCGCUGGCGCUGCACGAGUCGACAAACGCGCGUCCCUCCUCCACGGCAAACCGCGGCACCACCGCAGCUGCUAUCGAUCUGGCUCAUUCCAACUUCGUAGUCAUGUCAAGACUUCUACCUCGCCACCGUCAACUGCCGCCGUCGUCGACUCACGUGCGGCCUGGCCACUCUAAGUACAGGCCGUCCGCAGGACCUACCCUAGAGUCCAGAAUCUACAAUCCAAAUCGACGCUACAGACAAACCAUAAUCCGGGUCCGAUAGAUGCGGGGAAGUAGUCGACCUAUCUCCACGAAUCUGCCGCCGAAAUCAGAAUGACAACAUAAUGAAACAUUCCAGAACACUCUUAUUAAUUAUUUCACCGGCAUACGUAGCGGAUCUACGACUCCGGCCCCAAUAGGAGGAAAAUUUUUUUAUAUCCCAAUCAUAUACAUUAACCCACAAUGUCUAAGAAAAAAGUGCUUAUACGCGUCUCGAAUAGUAAGGUAAGGUAACUAACUAUCUUCCUUUCUUUCAUGUCAACGCCUGGAGUAUUUCGCAUGUGCUCCGCGAAUGCUCCAGCGAUACUCGUCUCCUACCCUACGAGUCGGGAGUGUACUGUUUCAGUUCAAUGUGCUUACUAGCUUGACUCGAUUAAGAAAACAACCGAAAAAAUCCGAAGGUCUUAUUCGAUGGAGGAUGGAUCGAAUAAGAUCUUCGGCCUAGUUAAAAAAAAAUUUGGAUGAUCAGUUCAGAAUUGAUAAUCCAAAUUUUUUUUAUUAAAAUCAACCCGAAGAUCUUAUUCGACCCAUCUUCCAUCGAAUAAAGUCAAAUAAGAUUUUCGAUCGUUUUCUUAACCGGGAGGGAGUCUCAUGGCCGUAACCGGAUCCACGCUCGAAGGAGGAACUACAGCACGUGGUCCUCCCUACACUUACCACGUUGUGGUAGGUUCUACGUUCACAACGUCACGGAGGUUUACCAGAUCUGUCAUUUACGCUACUCUCAACAACACGGAAACACGACCGAACGACCCCUCAGUACCUUUCGGCAACGGGUGGUUAGUAUCUUCAGGUGCUACGGUAGUUCACCAACACAUCAUUCCGCCGUGGUCUUCUCUUACAGCAUGGUUUGGUACGCCCUGUGUUACGUAGGCUGUUCGUCUACUACGUACCAGAGGAGGAGAACCAGCAUUUCUCGUGUACGUGUUCACGCACCAUCCGGCACCGCCCGAUCUGUGUGCCUUCAGGUCGUUACUAGUUCUGGCCGUUCGGUCUCCUUCUAGAACUAGGGGAGGCCACGGGUCCCGAAGGUCCACUCCGAGGUUCAUCC